GGAUGGAGGGUAGGGAGAGGAGGAAGCUAUAUCAAAGAGGAUCGAACACUAAAAGCCAGGAGGAGUGGACCUUAAGGCCUACUCAGUCAACCUAAAAGAGAAGGUUGGAGCCCUGGGACAACUACUCCGGUGCUCCUUUGUAGAAGAUGAUCAAUGGCAGAGCACAAGCCCUGGCCUGGAUUACCAGAAGACAUGGAGGGAAUUGUUUGGACAGUUCAAAGCCGAAGGGAAGGACUCAUGACGGAAAAUGCUAUCCACAUCCAGAGAAAGAAC